rnacentral:rRNA from 1 species
GACGAACGCUGGCGGCGUGCUUAACACAUGCAAGUCGAACGGAAAGGCCUGCUUUCCCUUGUGGAUUGCGGGUACUCGCGUGGCGAACGGGUGAGUAACACGUGAGUGAUCUGCCCCCAACUUGGGUAUAAGCCUGGGAAACUGGGUCUAAUUCCCGAUAGGACUGCAGGGUGGUGCCUGUGGUGGAAAACGAUUUUCUAGUGGUUGGGGAUGAGCUCGCGGCCUAUCAGCUUGUUGGUGGGGUAAUGGCCUACCAAGGCGGCGACGGGUAGCCGGCCUGGGAGGGUGGACGGGCACAGUGGGACUGAGAUACGGCCCAGACGCCUACGGGAGGCAGCAGUGGGGAAUAUGGCACAAUGGGCGGAAGCCUGAUGCAGCGACGCCGCGUGGGGGAUGACGGCCUUCGGGUUGUAAACUCCUUUCGACCGCGAGGAAGCCACCUGGUUGGAAGGGUGGUGACGGUAGUGGUAGAAGAAGCACCGGCUAACUACGUG